GGCAGGCUUAACACAUGCAAGUCGAACGGGCACUUCGGUGCUAGUGGCAGACGGGUGAGUAACGCGUGGGAACGUGCCUUUCGGUUCGGAAUAAUCCAGGGAAACUUGGACUAAUACCGGAUACGCCCUUCGGGGGAAAGAUUUAUCGCCGAAAGAUCGGCCCGCGUCUGAUUAGCUAGUUGGUGAGGUAAAGGCUCACCAAGGCGACGAUCAGUAGCUGGUCUGAGAGGAUGAUCAGCCACACUGGGACUGAGACACGGCCCAGACUCCUACGGGAGGCAGCAGUGGGGAAUAUUGGACAAUGGGCGAAAGCCUGAUCCAGCCAUGCCGCGUGAGUGAUGAAGGCCUUAGGGUUGUAAAGCUCUUUUGUCCGGGAAGAUA
rnacentral:rRNA from 1 species